UACGUAGGGGGCAAGCGUUGUCCGGAAUUAUUGGGCGUCAAGAGCGCGUAGGCGGUCCGGUAAGUCGGCUGUGAAAGUCAAGGGCUCAACCCUUGAAAGCCGGCCGAUACUGUCGGGCUAGAGUGCGGAAGAGGCGAGUGGAAUUCCUGGUGUAGCGGUGAAAUGCGCAGAUAUCAGGAGGAACACCGAUUGCGAAGGCAGCUCGCUGGGACGUUACUGACGCUGAGACGCGAAAGCGUGGGGAGCAAACAGG
rnacentral:rRNA from 1 species